rnacentral:tRNA from 6 species
GCGUCCGUAGCUCAAUGGUAGAGCGCCACUCUUAUAAAGUGGAUGUUGAUGGUUCGAUCCCAUCCGGACGCACCA